rnacentral:tRNA from 7 species
UAGAAUAUGGUGUAUUUGGGUAGCACGGAGAUUUUUGAAUUCUUAGGAUUAGGUUCGAUUCCUAUUGUUCUAG